UGGGAAAACCAUGUGCCCGGUUUACAGAACUCCCGCCUUAGGAAAAGCAAGCCAUCCUGGAGACCUCAGGUCACAGCUAAUUGCCACUUGAGGUUCUUUACAUCACAUGCAACCAACCAAUCCUGAAUGAGGCUAAGUCAGGGCCUACAUCAGAAAAGGGCAUCCAGGGAUACGGCUGUGGAUGGAGAGGCAGAAGACCUGCAGGAGACAAAGGAUUGGUCAGAAACAUGGUGAAAGGUGUGAGAAUAAGACUAAGAAAGGAAAAGUGUCAGAAGGGUCAAGAACGCCUGGAUAGCUGAGCGCCGCGGCACCCUGUAGUCCCUGCACCAAGAGGCUGACGAGGGAGAACUGGAUUGCAGCACCUUUCACGCCAGUGUGGACUACAUAGUGACUUCUAGGCCCUGACUCAGAAGUGCCUUGAGACCUUGUCUCAGACAAACAAACAAACCAACGCAAACCUUAUUCUACUACAGACAGAGAUCAGGAGAGAGAACCCUUCUUCAGGGAAGGAGUUAAGGACACAGGCCCCAGAGAACACAGACGUAAGGGCUUUGACACUUUUCCCAACUGUAAACAAAUUAUUUAGAUAUUCUAGACAUCCCCCUUGCUUUAAUUUGAUUCAAGUCAUGCUAAA